rnacentral:rRNA from 1 species
AACGCGAAGAACCUUACCAAGGUUUGACAUGCAGGGAAAAGCCGUAGAGAUACGGUGUCCGUAAGGGCCCUGCACAGGUGGUGCAUGGCUGUCGUCAGCUCGUGUCGUGAGAUGUUGGGUUAAGUCCCGCAACGAGCGCAACCCUCGUUCUAUGUUGCCAGCGGAUAAUGCCGGGGACUCAUAGGAGACUGCCGGGGUCAACUCGGAGGAAGGUGGGGAUGACGUCAAGUCAUCAUGCCCCUUAUGUCUUGGGCUGCAAACAUGCUACAAUGGCCGGUACAGAGGGCUGCGAAACCGCAAGGUGGAGCGAAUCUCAAAAAGCCGGUCUCAGUUCGGAUUGGGGUCUGCAACUCGACCCCAUGAAGUCGGAGUCGCUAGUAAUCGCGAAUCAGCAACGUCGCGGUGAAUACGUUCCCGGGCCUUGUA